GUUUCUAUUCAAAACCAUAUUGUUCAAAAAACAAUGGAGAGGAGGCGCGUCACUUGGUUCCAGUUCUUUCUGCGCGCUUCUUGCAAACGACUAAUGACCGAUUCUUUCAGCAUACUGACAGUUUUGCUUGUAAAAGAUUAGGAAAAUAAUUAGGUUUUCUACUGAAUUCCGCCAAAGUUUAUUGUUUAAAUAGCUCUCAGGGGUUUUCCCUCGCAUUCAACAUAAUUUACCUGCAUAAUUUUUAAGAAAAUCAGUAUGAGAAGCAGCUCGAAGUUCAAGCAGGCAUACUUGUUGUUGUCGUAUGUAUACGAAAAACAAACGCGUUUUUUCAAGAAAUACUGAAGGGAAUAUGAAUCCUUCAUAGAUGUACGAAGGUUUCAGGAGCUGCUCUAAACAUGUAAAAUGAUUGUAUUGCAAUGGACAGGGUAGCUAGCAAGCUAUACCCUCGAUGAGGGCUAACCACAUAGAAUUUAAAUCGCUAUUGCUACCCAUAUGAAGUAUUUCUCUCAUAACUAUCAGUUCUGACAGAUGGUGAUGUAAGCUCUGAACUUAACUGCUUUCAUAUCCGGCAAGUGAAAUAUGCACUGAGAAUUAAUUACCAAAAAUUUCGCACAAUUUAUUUCAAACACAUGUUUUACAAAAACCAAAUGGUCCUUUAGAUGGUUUUCGCAGACGCCCCCAAGAGGAAGGUUAUCCAAAAUUAAAUAUUGGUAAAGCGCCAGAUAUACAGUAUGAAAUUUAUGAGAUCCGGAUCAGAAGGCCGAAUAGGCAAGUUAUACCUGUUUACUUUGGUAGCCCAUGCAAAGAACGCGACACAGUUGAUGGGAGAAUUAAAGAGCACUGUAGGCCCAGUUCAGCAAAAAAUGACCUUAUAAAUGAGGUCAUGGAAAAGGGAGAUUUGCUAUGGUUACGUGUCAAAGAAUUCCCGGAUAAAGAGGGGGCAAUGGAUGAGGAAACUGAUUAUCUUAGAAGAUAUUAUGCCUGGAAUAUUCGAGACCAAGUUAAAAAACACCCAGGAAACAUCUAUGAAUAAAACUAUUAUGUGGAUAAAAUAUACUUGUAUCUUAAGAAGUGUAGGGACUUUUAUAAUUUUAUCAUUCGUUUUAUCAUUAUUAAAAAAUGUAUUAACUACGUCUAAUUUUCCCACCUUUGUAAAGUAAAACAUUUGCACUUUUUAGGCAUUACUAACAACACAGACUAUAUUCUUGGUAGACUUAUCCACUAAAGAGGCAAAAAUUGUUUUUAUAAAAAAAAAUUAAUGACGUUAUUGGAAUCAGAAAUGACGUCAUAUUUGUACAAAAGGUACGUAUUAUUCGAUCAAGAAAAAAGAUUCGUUUUACCAGAAAUAUUGCUCUUCAUGGUACAUGUUCAACAUACUGCAUUUAUAGAUGUUCGGAGUAAAGAAAACAAUACAAUGACGUCAUUUAGUUUUAUGGUCUGUAUUUUAUCCCCAGGUCGCACAUACCUCCUUAGCAACACCUAAGUCACCACCUGGUAACAAACACCACAUUGUAACGGACAGAUAUGUAAUAAAUAAAUUUAUAACCAAUACAACAUCCUGCAACACUCACACAUGCACUUAUUUAAACUUGUAAAAAAAAUUACUACUGUCCGAAAAGUACAAUGCCUUCCGCAAAGUAUUGAUUUUUGUUCUA